UAAGAACGAGCUUAAUUUGGGUCUCAGCGCUUGGGCAUCAUUCGGUUUUGGCCCGGCCUUGUUGGACCACUUCUCUUUCCAAAUAAGGUAAUGGGAGAAAAAGACACUAUCAAUUUCACACAUGACAAUUAUUAUUAAUUUUUUUUUCGGAAAAUGUAAAUUCGUUACCAUAUGAUGAUAUCAGAUUGUGUUAAGUAAAAUACAAUCAUGUAAUUGGGUUGUUGUAUAAGAAGAAUAUAUAAAUUCACAUGUA
rnacentral:lncRNA from 1 species